CAGCCGCCGCGGUAAUACGUAGGGUGCGAGCGUUAAUCGGAAUUACUGGGCGUAAAGCGUGCGCAGGCGGUUGUGUAAGACAGGUGUGAAAUCCCCAGGCUUAACCUGGGAACUGCGCUUGUGACUGCACAGCUAGAGUAUGGCAGAGGGGGGUGGAAUUCCACGUGUAGCAGUGAAAUGCGUAGAGAUGUGGAGGAACACCGAUGGCGAAGGUAGCCCCCUGGGCCAAUACUGACGCUCAUGCACGAAAGCGUGGGGAGCAAACAGGAUUAGAUACCCGCGUAGUCCCUGUCUCUUAUAC
rnacentral:rRNA from 1 species